GAGUUUGAUCCUGGCUCAGAGCGAACGUUGGCAGUGUGUCUUAAGCAUGCAAGUCGAACGGCAGCAGGCCAUGUAGCAAUAUAUGGUGCUGGCGAGUGGCGAACUGGUGAGUAACACGUAAGAAUCUGCCCUAAGGUGGGGGAUAACUCAUGGAAACAUGAGCUAAUACCGCAUAAUGCGAAGCUUAUAGAGAUAUAAGUUUUGUUAAAGGAGAAAUCCGCCAUAGGAUGAGCUUGCGUCCCAUUAGCUAGUUGGCGGGGUAAAUGCCCACCAAGGCUAUGAUGGGUAGCUGGCCUGAGAGGGUGGUCAGCCACACUGGGACUGAGAUACGGCCCAGACUCCUACGGGAGGCAGCAGCUAAGAAUCUUCCUCAAUGGGGGAAACCCUGAAGGAGCGACACUGCGUGCAGGAUGAAGGCCCUUUGGGUUGUAAACUGCUUUUGCAGGGGAGAAAUAACCGAAUGGGAUGAUAGUACUCUGCGAAUAAGUCCCGGCUAACUACGUGCCAGCAGCCGCGGUAAUACGUAAGGGGCGAACGUUGCUCGGAAUCACUGGGCGUAAAGGGCCGGUAGGUGGCUUUAUAAGUCGGUUGUCAAAUACCUAUGCUCAACGUGGGAGAGGCGACCGAUACUGUAGAGCUUGAGUAGAGGAUGGGAUGAUGGAAUACCCGGUGUAGGGGUGAAAUCUGUUGAUAUCGGGUAGAACACCGAUGGCGAAAGCGAUCAUCUAGCCUCAUACUGACACUCAACGGCGAAAGCCAGGGGAGCGAACGGGAAUUAGAUACCCCGGUAGUCCUGGCCAUUAACCAUGCAUGCUAGGU
rnacentral:rRNA from 1 species